AACCAUGUUUAUACCAGCCCCCUCCGACACUUCACCUACACUGUGGACAGAUGCCGCAGCAAACACAGGCUUUGCGGCCAUCUGGGGUGAUCAGUGGCUUUGGGGACCUUGGCCGACCGAAGUCGAAUCACUGCCCAACUUCUCUGAUACCUCGGCUUUAUUCGAGUUGUACCUUAUUGUGGCGGCAGCCAUUGCAUGGGGACCAUGUGGGUCCAGUCACACAGUCAGGUGCUACUCAGAUAAUAUGGCCAUAUUGUCAAUAAAGGCCGAUCGUCAUCACUGGUCAUUAUGAGACUACUAAGGCGACUCACAUGGGUAGCAGCCACCUGUCAAUUCUUUAUAACAUGUAUACACAUUCCGGGGUACACAAACACCUCUGCUGAUCACUUGUCUCGGUUUCGUUUCCAGGCUUUCUUCUCGACACUACUCACCGCUUCCAGACGAGCGACACCUGCACCACUAUUCAAAGAUAUGAUAAUGGAUUAAAGACUUUGUUAGAUUGCGCACGUCACAUUUCUCAUCUGGCACUCUCAGUAAACACGAGGAACACUUAUGAUAGGGCUUUUCACGUAUUCACGAAAUUUAUCACCGAAUUUUACAUCCACGACAUGUUUGCUUUAGAAACGAUAUUAGGUUUUACUUCUUUUUUGC